rnacentral:rRNA from 1 species
GGCGGCAUGCCUAACACAUGCAAGUCGAACGGUAACAGGCCCGCAAGGGUGCUGACGAGUGGCGGACGGGUGAGGAAUACAUCGGAAUCUGCCCGGUUGUGGGGGAUAACGUAGGGAAACUUACGCUAAUACCGCAUACGACCGAAAGGUGAAAGCGUGGGAUCCGCAAGGACCUCGCGCAGCCGGAUGAGCCGAUGUCGGAUUAGCUAGUUGGCGGGGUAAAGGCCCACCAAGGCGACGAUCCGUAGCUGGUCUGAGAGGAUGAUCAGCCACACUGGGACUGAGACACGGCCCAGACUCCUACGGGAGGCAGCAGUGGGGAAUAUUGGACAAUGGGGGCAACCCUGAUCCAGCAAUGCCGCGUGUGUGAAGAAGGCCUUCGGGUNGUAAAGCACUUNUAUCCGGAACGAAACGCGCAGGGCGAAUAGCUUUGCGAACUGACGGUNCCGGAGGAAUAAGCACCGGCUAACU